rnacentral:lncRNA from 1 species
GCUGCCAGUGCUGAGUCCUCACUGUGUACCCAUUGCAGGGCGGGUGCUCCAUGUACAGUCUUAUAGCAUCCUCACAGUUCUUGAUGGGGUGGGAUGGGGCCAUGAAGCAGGUAAGGUGCUGUGGACUGAAUUGUGUUCCCCCACAAAGUCAUAUGUUGGAAUCCUGACUCCCAGUAUGAUUGCAUUUGGAGGUAGGACUUUUAGAUGAUUAGGUUAGAUGAAGUUACAAGGGUGGGGCCCUCAAGAUGCAAUUAGUGUGCUUUAUGUGAAACGCUGGCAUGUUCUCUUCGUGCUGUGAGGACAUAGCAAGAAGGCGGCUGGCUGCCUGCCAGCUGUCUGCAAGCCAGGAAGACAGGUCUUAUCAGCAACAGCAUUGGCCAGUACCUUGAUUUUGGACCUCCAGGCUGCAAAACUAUUAAGAAAUAAAUGUCUGUUGUUUAUAAACAACCUAUCCUGUGGUAUUCUGUUGUGGCAUCCUGAGCUAAGUUAUCUUACGAAGGCUGUCUGGGAGUGAGGGGUGGGCAGGAAGGCAGGCUGGCCCCAGCUGCUGCUGGUCUGAGGAUGCAUUUUGCUUAUGUUGCAUCGUAGUGACCCACAUAAU